UACAGAGGGGGCAAGCGUUAUUCGGAAUUAUUGGGCGUAAAGAGCUCGUAGGCGGUUUGUCGCGUCGGCCGUGAAAUCUCCACGCUUAACGUGGAGCGUGCGGUCGAUACGGGCAGGCUUGAGUUCGGUAGGGGAGACUGGAAUUCCUGGUGUAGCGGUGAAAUGCGCAGAUAUCAGGAGGAACACCGGUGGCGAAGGCGGUUCUCUGGGCAUUACCUGACGCUGAGGAGCGAAAGCAUGGGGAGCGAACAGG
rnacentral:rRNA from 1 species